ensembl:lncRNA
CAAAUUAAAAUAAUAUACAAAGUAAUUGUAUAUUUAAAAUCCAAAUUCAAAUCCACAACAUAGUUCUCUGUUCAAAUUCUUUUGGACCUCACUGUAUGUAACAUAUACUGUAAUUGAUUAGGCCAUUCCCUUAGAAUACAUGGUCCUUAUCUUCCAUGUAAUGUACAAGUGCAUUGCCUUAUCACACCACCUUGGGCCACUCUAGUAAAAUAUUGACCUUUGUUUUGUCAGAAUCUUCCCUUUAUGUGUGAAGCAGAUAGAGGUCUAGGAUACUUUUUUAUUAAAAUGUCUCAAAACGGAAUCACUGUCUAUAUUUGGUUUAAGUUUAUGUGAAGAUCUACAAGGAACUAAAACGUUACCUUUGUUUUCAUCCCAUGGCUACAACAUUGACAGUGUGAAAUGUAUGAGUCUUGCAUCUCGCUCAGCUCAUAAUCUGGGGUGAUGCUCAGCAACAUAAUCUUGCUAAAUCUACCUCUGAAGUAAACGAUCUCUGCCAAGCAGUCCUGUCAUUAUGCUGCAUUCAAAAACCUUUUGGGUAAACAUGUUACGACAAGAAACUACUGGACUGUUUUAGGAAAUAAUUGUUUAUUUGCUUAUUUACAUGAAUGGUUUGGACCGUUCGACAGUUGAUUAAUCAAAGCAAGGAACUUGGGGUGGGACAAGGGAACGGUGGGUGGUUGGGCGGACAUUUCAGUUUCAGGGGAAGCUCAAGGGCAUAAUGGCUCGGUCUGACUUUGUGUCCAUACAAUUCCAAGCGUCCAAAAGCCACAACACCGAGCAGACAACAGGGGUGGGUGAAGCUGGGUGGGAAGAAAAGACACAGUGGUUCGCUGAUGGAUGGAAACGCUCACUUUCUGCCCAUUCGAGAGCAUGUGAGCGCAGUAAGUGUAGUGAGACGGGGGGGCCUGUCUACAGGUCCAAGGGAGGUGGAGAGAAGAUGGGAGGCUGCCGUUCAGCCUUGCCUACCCCGAGGACCCCCGUGCUUGCGACGGCAGGAUCCGAGCAGAGUCUCCAGAGCCAUCUUUACAAAUGCCUGGAAAUUAUUGCUUCUCUCCCUUCGGCUGUCCU